rnacentral:rRNA from 1 species
UACGUAGGGUGCGAGCGUUGUCCGGAAUUACUGGGCGUAAAGAGCUCGUAGGUGGUUUGUCGCGUUGUUCGUGAAAUCUCACGGCUUAACUGUGAGCGUGCGGGCGAUACGGGCAGACUAGAGUACUGCAGGGGAGACUGGAAUUCCUGGUGUAGCGGUGGAAUGCGCAGAUAUCAGGAGGAACACCGGUGGCGAAGGCGGGUCUCUGGGCAGUAACUGACGCUGAGGAGCGAAAGCAUGGGGGAGCGAACAGG